rnacentral:misc_RNA from 1 species
UCCGAGUUGACCCCGGCAGUCUCCUGCGAGUCCCCGCCAUUACGCGCUGGCAACACAGGACAAGGGUUGCGCUCGUUGCGGGACUUAACCCAACAUCUCACGACACGAGCUGACGACAGCCAUGCAGCACCUGUGUCGGCUCCUCUUGCGAGGUCGGUCCCCUUUCGGUUCCCUACCACCGACAUGUCAAACCCAGGUAAGGUUUUUCGCGUUGCGUCGAAUUGAACCACAUGCUCCACCGCUUGUGCGGGUCCCCGUCAAUUCCUUUGAGUUUUAACCUUGCGGCCGUACUCCCCAGGCGGGGUGCUUAAUGCGUUAGCUACGGCGCUGCAGGAGUAAUACCCACAACACCUAGCACCCAUCGUUUACGGCUAGGACUAC